UCAAACUUGGUCAUUUAGAGGAAGUAAAAGUCGUAACAAGGUUUCCGUAGGUGAACCUGCGGAAGGAUCAUUAUUGAAUUAUAUGCAAAGGUUGUUGCUGGCUUCCUUGGGGGCAUGUGCACACCCUUGUUCAUAAUCCACUUACACCUGUGAACUUAACGUGGGAGGGAUGUCUUUUAAAGACAACUACUCUCAUGCAUUUUAUAUACCCCUAUUGUAUGUCUUGAGAAUGUUUUAUAUUGCUAUAAUGCAAAUUUAAAUAUAACUUUCAACAACGGAUCUCUUGGCUCUCGCAUCGAUGAAGAACGCAGC
rnacentral:misc_RNA from 1 species